UACGUAGGGGGCAAGCGUUGUCCGGAAUCAUUGGGCGUAAAGAGCGUGUAGGCGGCCAGAUAAGUCCGCUGUGAAAUCUCGAGGCUCAACUUCGAGCUGUCGGUGGAAACUGUCUGGCUAGAGUCCGGAAGAGGAGAAUGGAAUUCCUGGUGUAGCGGUGAAAUGCGCAGAUAUCAGGAAGAACACCGAUGGCGAAAGCAGCUCUCUGGGACGGUACUGACGCUGAGGCGCGAAAGCGUGGGGAGCGAACAGG
rnacentral:rRNA from 1 species